UACGGGGGGGGCAAGCGUUGUUCGGAAUUACUGGGCGUAAAGGGCUCGUAGGCGGCCAAGUAAGUCGGGUGUGAAACCUCCAGGCUCAACCUGGAGACGCCACCCGAUACUGCUGUGGCUAGAGUCCGGUAGGGGAGCGUGGAAUUCCUGGUGUAGCGGUGAAAUGCGCAGAUAUCAGGAGGAACACCAGCGGCGAAGGCGGCGCUCUGGGCCGGUACUGACGCUGAGGAGCGAAAGCGUGGGGAGCAAACAGG
rnacentral:rRNA from 1 species